UACGAAGGGGGCUAGCGUUGUUCGGAAUUAUUGGGCGUAAAGGGCGCGUAGGCGGCCAUGCGUGUCUUCCGUGAAAUCCCUCGGCUUAACCGAGGACGUGCGGAAGAAACUGCAAGGCUCGAGUCCGGAAGAGGGGGGCGGAAUUCCCAGUGUAGCGGUGAAAUGCGUAGAUAUUGGGAGGAACACCAGUGGCGAAGGCGGUCCCCUGGGCCGGAACUGACGCUGAGGCGCGAAAGCGUGGGUAGCAAACGGG
rnacentral:rRNA from 1 species